rnacentral:rRNA from 1 species
AGCUUGCUUCUCUGCUGACGAGUGGCGGACGGGUGAGUAAUGUCUGGGAAGCUGCCUGCUUGAGGGGGAUAGCGGAGCGAAAGUUCCGAUAAUACCGCGUAAGCCCGAGAGGGGAAAGUGCGGGACCGCAAGGCCGCACGCGAGCAGAUGCGCCCAGAUGGGAUUAGGCAGUUGGGGAGGUAAUGGCUCACCAAACCGAUGAUCUCUAGCUGGUUUGAGAGGACAAUCAGCCACAUUGGAAUUGAGAAACGGACCAAACUCCUACGGGAGGCAGCAGUGGGGAAUAUUGCACAAUGGGGGAAACCCUGAUGCAGCCAUGCCGCGUGUGUGAAGAAGGCCUUCGGGUUGUAAAGCACUUUUGCAUUCGAGGAAGACAGCACGUAAAUAAACGUGUUAUUUGACGUUAGAGUGUGAAUAAGCACCGGCAAACUCCGUGCCAGCAGCCGCGGUAAUACGGAGGGUGCGAGCGUUAAUCGGAAUGACUGGGCGUAAAGGGCACGCAGGUGGCGAGAUAAGUUGGAUGUGAAAUACCCGGGCUUAACCUGGG